CACCAAUCGAGCCCAGCUCGGUGUUGGGCGACGCGGUCCGCCGCGCGCCUCAAAUCGACCGGCUGGGUCUUCUGUCCCCUCAGCGUUGUGGAAACUAUUCGCUAAAGGGUGCCACGGGAGGCCACGCCGAAAAACAAACCCAUUUCUAA
rnacentral:misc_RNA from 1 species